rnacentral:lncRNA from 1 species
GUGAAAAAUAAAUGUGACUGUUGAAGAGGAACCAGCAGCCGUUGCUCUGUACAGGUCAGAGCCCCUCCCCUGGUCCCUUGUGACCUCCUCGAAGCGGCAUGUCCGAGACGCUGCGAACAUCCUUCAGGGCUGCCGCCUGCCACACUCAGACACGGAGGAGCGCGGGCAAGGCCGUGGCCAGGACCCACACGCACAGCAGUUACCUGCCUUUUACACGGAGGAGCGCGGGCAAGGCCGUGGCCAGGAACCACACGCACAGCAGUUACCUGCCUUUUACUGCUUGUUUAGGACACCAGCAAAUUGAGGUGAGGACAGCUGAUGUCACAGUGUCUCCUGUACAUUAAGAGCCAAACUGGAACAUGGAGCUGUGAAGCCUGCAAGGGAAGAUCCUCCUGCUGGUCUUGUGAACAAGGCUUUAUGGAAAUAUGAGACAGAGUUUCAAUAAAAUCAAAAUGCACAUCAACCUUUACUCAUCUA